CCUACGGGUGGCAGCAGUGAGGAAUAUUGGUCAAUGGCCGUAAGGCUGAACCAGCCAAGUAGCGUGAGGGAAGACUGCCCUAUGGGUUGUAAACCUCUUUUAUGCGGGGAUAAAGGUGUCCACGUGUGGCUGUUUGCAGGUACCGCAUGAAUAAGGACCGGCUAAUUCCGUGCCAGCAGCCGCGGUAAUACGGAAGGUCCGGGCGUUAUCCGGAUUUAUUGGGUUUAAAGGGAGCGUAGGCGGGUCUUUAAGCGUGCCGUGAAAUUUUGUGGCUCAACCAUGAGAGUGCGGCGCGAACUGGAGACCUUGAGUGCGCGGAAGGCAGGCGGAAUUCGUGGUGUAGCGGUGAAAUGCUUAGAGAUCACGAAGAACACCGAUUGCGAAGGCAGCCUGCCGAAGCGUUACUGACGCUGAAGCUCGAAAGCGCGGGGAUCGAACAGGAUUAGAUACCCCAGUAGUC
rnacentral:rRNA from 1 species